ACGGAAGGCAGCAGUGAGGAAUAUUGGUCAAUGGGCGGAAGCCUGAACCAGCCAAGUCGCGUGAAGGAAGAAGGUAUUAUGUAUUGUAAACUUCUUUAGACGCAGAGAAAUAAGGGGAUCGUGAUCCCUGAUGCUAGUAUGCGUAGAAUAAGGAUCGGCUAACUCCGUGCCAGCAGCCGCGGUAAUACGGAGGAUCCGAGCGUUAUCCGGAUUUAUUGGGUUUAAAGGGUGCGCAGGCGGUCUUUUAAGUCAGUGGUCAAAUCGUGAGGCUCAACCUCAUCACGCCAUUGAUACUGGAGGACUUGAUUGCGGUUGAGGUUGGCGGAAUUCGCCGUGUAGCGGUGAAAUGCAUAGAUAUGGCGAAGAACUCCGAUUGCGUAGGCAGCUGACCAGGCCGUAAAUGACGCUCAUGCACGAAAGUGCGGGGAUCGAACAGGAUUAGAUACCCUGGUA
rnacentral:rRNA from 1 species